rnacentral:rRNA from 1 species
AACGUAGGGGGCCAGCGUUGUUCGGAAUUACUGGGUGUGAAGGGUUCGUAGGCGGUGCGGCAAGUCGGGAGUGAAAUCUCUGGGCUUAACCCAGAGGCUGCUUCCGAAACUGCUGUGCUUGAGUGUGGGAGAGGCGCGUGGAAUUGCAGGUGUAGCGGUGAAAUGCGUAGAUAUCAAGAGGAACACCAGUGGCGAAGGCGAGUCCCUGGACAACUUCUGACGCUGAGGCACGAAAGCUAGGGGAGCAAACAGG